rnacentral:lncRNA from 1 species
CUUGAGAUUUGAUUAGGAUAAUGAAUUGGAAUUUCCAUACUACAAUGGAUUAUUUGUGUAUUUGGUUGGAGUAAGAGACCUUAUAAUUAAUGUGUGUAUAGACAUCAUAAUAUUUCUUCUAAUGAUCAUUUUUGAAAACCACCAGAUAUUAAUCUAGAAAUUUUUUGCCGGAUGCCAACAUAUUAGCAUUAUGUUGCUUUGUUUAAGCAUUUGCAAACACAUUGUUUGGUUGGUUCUAUUAAACUACGACAUUUUUGCUUAGGAUAUGUUGCUCUAGAAACUUUUAACUUCUUGCAUAACUACUGUUGGUUUUUCUGCAACCCCUACAGUCAAUGUUUUCCUCGUCAAGUUCUUUGCAGCCUAUAAUUUAUAUUAAAUUCCAUUUUCUUAUCUAAUUACAGAUUCAAUCAUGUAAUUUGUCACUUAAUUUGGA